GAUGAACGCUGGCGGCGUGCUUAACACAUGCAAGUCGAACGAAGCACUUUGGAAGCUUGCUUUUAGAGUGACUGAGUGGCGGACGGGUGAGUAACGCGUGGGUAACCUGCCUUAUACAGGGGGAUAACAGUUGGAAACGACUGCUAAUACCGCAUAAGCGCACAGUGCCGCAUGGCACAGUGUGAAAAACUCCGGUGGUAUAAGAUGGACCCGCGUCUGAUUAGCUAGUUGGUGAGGUAACGGCUCACCAAGGCGAGAAUAAGUAGCCGGCUUGAGCGAGUGGUCGGCAGCAUUGGGACUGAGACACGGCCCAAACUCCUACGGGAGGCAGCAGUGGGGAAUAUUGCACGAUGGGGGAAACCCGGAUGCAGCAACGCCGCGUGAGUGAAGAAGUAUUUCGGUAUGUAAAGCUCUAUCAGCAGGGAAGAUAAUGACGGUACCUGACUAAGAAGCCCCGGCUAACUACGUGCCAGCCGCCGCAGUAA
rnacentral:rRNA from 1 species